GGGGGUACAGCUCACUGGUCAAGUGCAUGUUUAGCAUGCAUGAGGUCCUGAGUUCAAUCCCCAGCAUCUCCA
rnacentral:tRNA from 1 species